CUUCUUCUGUGGGGUUUGAGGCUGAUGGGUACAAAGUGCAAGUGAGCGGCUUUGUAGAUGGAGGAACAGGUGAUACUUUGAGUUAUCACAAUGGAAUGAAGUUCUCCACCUUUGACAAUGACCAAGAUACUUGGAGCAGUAACUGCGCUAUGACAUUCUCUCAAGGAGGGUUUUGGUACAACACCUGUGCUAAUGCAAACCCCACUGGUCUGUAUUUUUGGGGGAAAGAUUAUGGCAGUUUAUCUAUUGGGGCCUACUGGAAGAGCCCCAAUAAACCUGUGAAGUCCAUCAGCAUGAAGAUCAGACGUGUGAAGUAGAGCAGGGCUUACAAACACUUCACUGCAGCGUGUGCACAUCCACAUCUUUAUGCAUACAUGUGCAUCUUUCUUAAAAUAUGGUGACAAAUCAAAUUAAUUUUCCUCUUAAAUAAAAAUGUAUUGAAAUUGGGAUCUGUAUGUUUUGUCUGCUUUGAUUUUGGAGCAAUAAAUGUUUAUGCAAAGCA